rnacentral:rRNA from 1 species
UACGUAGGGGGCUAGCGUUAUCCGGAAUUACUGGGCGUAAAGGGUGCGUAGGCGGACUUUUAAGUGAGAUGUGAAAUACUCGGGCUCAACUUGAGUGCUGCAUUUCAAACUGGAAGUCUAGAGUGCAGGAGAGGAGAAUGGAAUUCCUAGUGUAGCGGUGAAAUGCGUAGAGAUUAGGAAGAACACCAGUGGCGAAGGCGAUUCUCUGGACUGUAACUGACGCUGAGGCUCGAAAGCGUGGGGAGCAAACAGG